rnacentral:rRNA from 1 species
AUGGAUUCCAUCAAGCGCCGCCGCGUUGACGCUGUCGACCGGCUUGGUGACCUACCGGACUGCCUCCUGCACUGUAUAAUAUCGUUGCUCGGGUCACGGCAGGCCAGGCAGACGAGCGUGCUGUCCCGGCGGUGGAGGCACCUUUGGCGCGAGGUGCGCUGCGCCGUGAUCGACGAGAGGGAGUUCGCCGACGACCAGUGGGAGCGCUUCGAGGACUUCACCGACCACAUGCUGUCGUCGCUCCCGGCGGCGGUGGAGCUCGACGUCCUCCGCCUGCACCUGGUCAGCAACAGGGCGGGUCACUGCGGCGACAUGUUCUCCGACAGGUGGGUCCGCCGCGGCCUCCAACGCUUCCCGGCCACCGUCGACAUCAGCACCGCUCACAACGGCACCGUCUUCUGGAAGCCGCACGCGUCGAUCGCGUACUCUUAUGCCGCUGCCCCCGCUCGCCGGCAGCCGGACUUGUCGUCCAAAGGCUUAUGCGCUGGCGGCUUUACCCGGCGCCUGACCACGCUACGUCUCGUCGGGGUGAACAUGGCACCUGGUUUUGUGGAAGGCCUCGGUGGGUACUGCCCGGUCCUCGAGGACCUCCACGUCGAGAGGUGCAGGAUGGAGAAGCUCCACGUCGUAGCCUCGCCAACGCUCAAGAGCCUCACAGUCAUCGACCCCCAUUGCAACCUCGCUGGGGCCGAGCUCAAGCUCGCGGCUCCCCGCCUUGCCUACCUGCUCCUCGAGAUUCCGUACGACGGGAGGGACUGCUACUGUGUCGCCGGAGCGGCCGCACCAGAGCUACUGUCGCUCGCCGAUGCUUCGAUCCGGCUCACGGACACGAGCUACGGCGGGCAGCCGAACCAGAGAGCGCGAAAGAAACGCAAACUCGAGUUCCUCAAGUCCAUGUGCAGCUUCCUGGCCCUCAUCCCCAACGUUACCAAGCUACAUCUAUCAGGCUUCCCCACUACAGCACUGCUUCAAGAGGAAUCUGAAGAAUUCCCCAUGCUCCAUAACUUGAAGGCUUUGCUCCUAGAAAGAUGUGAUCUUGGAGUGAAGUUGCAGGCAUUGACAAGCAUCCUCUCGAACACACCAAACCUGGAGGAACUUGAAUUGGACAACUGCACGUUGUUAGCUCCUCCGUUCAAGAAGAGUAAGAGGAAACAAUCUUCCAAAAGGCGUAGCUCGACAACACCUGUUUUCUGGUGCAAGAAGCUCAAAUCGAUAGAACUCAAGCACCGGUUGGAAGAUGAGCCUCACAUGUCUAAGAUUUUGUCAGAAAUUUCAGAGGGAAUGUUGCCAGCACAGUGGAUGCACAUCAAGAAAUCCAUGGCUGUUGUGUAG